UUAAAUUUUAUUUAUUAAUUUUUUUUAUUUAAAUUUUAAGUAUUAAAAAUAAUUAUAAAAAAUAAAGUUUUAGUAUUGUUUAAAGAAAAAAUAAAUUUAAUAAUAGUUUAAUAGUAUUGUAAAAGAAAAUUGAAAUAAUUUGAAAAAUUUUUAUAAAAAAAGAAAAUUUAAUUUAUUGUACCUUGUGUAUCAGUGUUUAUCAAUUAAAAAAUAUUUAUUUAUUUUUCUCGAUUUUAAAAGAGUUAGUUUGGUAUAAAAGUUAAUGUAAUAAAAUUAUUUUAAAUAUCAAAUUAGAAAUGAAAUGUUAUUCGUUUUUAAAGGUAUCUAGUUUUUCAAGAAAUGAAUUAAAUUCAGAAAUUAUAAAUUUAUUUAAAAAUUUAUACAAUUAAAUAAUUUAUGAUUUUAAUAUUUUAUGGGAUAAGCUAUAAAAUAAAUUUUUAAAAAUAAUAAAAAAAAUUAAUAAAUAUAUGCUUAGAAUUAGCAAUUGUUUAUAAUUAUGUUAUAAUUUAUUUUAUAAAUGAAAUUAUUUAUUAAAUUUUAAAUAUUUAUUGAAAUAUUAAUUUUAAUUUUAUAAAUUAAUUAAUAAUGAUAAAAUUAGUAUAUUGUAUUGUAUUAAUAAAUUUAAAUGAAAAGUUUUUGUAAAG
rnacentral:rRNA from 1 species